rnacentral:rRNA from 1 species
AGAGAGAGACAUGCGCGCAUAUCAAUAAGCGGAGGAAAAGAAACUAACAAGGAUUCCCUUAGUAACGGCGAGUGAAGCGGGAAGAGCUCAAAUUUGAAAUCUUCGAAGGUUUUACCUUGACGAAUUGUAGUUUAAAGAAGUGUUUUCUGCUGAAGUUUUGGUAAAAGUUCUUUGGAAUAGGACAUCAUAGAGGGUGAGAAUCCCGUAUUUGACCAUUAUUUUCAGCUUUGUGAUACACUUUCAAAGAGUCGGAUUGUUUGGGAAUGCAGUCCAAAAUGGGUGGUAAAUUUCAUCUAAAGCUAAAUAUUGGCGAGAGACCGAUAGCGAACAAGUACCGUGAGGGAAAGAUGAAAAGAACUUUGAAAAGAGAGUUAAACAGUACGUGAAAUUGUCAAAAGGGAAGCGUUUGACACCAGUGUUGUUUUCUCGAAAAUCAAUUAAAAAUGGCUCGAUUUUGUAUUGCUUGAGACCUUAAAAGCUCACUGUACAUUUUUCGUGUCUUUUUUAAUGCACUUUUCGUUUAACAAGUCAACAUCAGUUUCUUUUGUUGUAAAAGGGUCAUUGGAAGGUGGCUUUCUUUUCGGAGAAAGUGUUUAUAGCCUGUGGCCUCUGCAAUCGGAGAGACUGAGGUCUGCAGCGUAGACUCUUCGGGGUUAGAUACAUUUGUGCUAAGUUAUAGCUUUUUAUAGACAACUUGUUGACUAUAAUUAGUCUUGUAGCUUACUCGCUUAUGCUAUUUUACCUACGCUUAGGAUGUUGAGUCGUAGAGCACGCAG